rnacentral:rRNA from 1 species
GCUGAAGAGACCGCCUGAAAUUCAGUCCUGUGGUGGCGAGUCGGCGUUUCCAGAUACCGUCAGGUCCUUGCCAGGACCGGCGGCACUGGGCGUUUUCGACACUGCUGCGGGAUGCACUUUUUGGGCGUUAGCACUGGGACCAGUGACUAGGCUGGACUGUCUCCCACUGGAGAAGGUAGUGCGUGUGUUGGGCUCUCCGCUUCGCGGCGGCUGAUCUCCCGCGCAUGUUACAGCUCCUGGGAACGGCAAUCUCCGGCUGAACACUGUCAAAUGCGGCCUGCCAAUCUCGCUCGUCCGUUGUAGUUAUGUUCCGGUCGUGGCAUUGUAUUUACUGUUUUCAGUGGAUCUUUGUUUGCGACCGGUGCGCUACCGGCGGCGGUGCAGUGGUGCCAAAUAGUCCCCAGUGUGCAAGUAGGUCAACUACCCGACCCGUCUUGAAACACGGACCAAGGAGUUCAGUAUAUGCGCGAGUCAAUGGGCGUUACGAAACCCUACGGCGCAAUGAAAGUGAAGGCCGAUUUUAACCGGUCGCGCUUCCGUGUGAUCCCGAGACCGCAAGGUUGAGGGCGCAACACGAGCCAGGACGAUCCUCCUUGUGAGAAGUGCUGAGCUUGAGCGCAUAUACUGAGACCCGAAAGAUGGUGACCUAUGCUUGCUCAGGUUGAAGCCAGAGGAAACUCUGGUGGAGGACCGUAGCAGUUCUGACGUGCAAAUCGAUUGUCAGAAGUGAGUAUAGGGGCGAAAGACUAAUCGAACCAUCUAGUAGCUGGUUCCCUCCGAAGUUUCCCUCAGGAUAGCUGGCGCUCGAUUUUUAUCACAGUUUGGUCCGGUAAAGCGAAUGAUUAGAGGUCCUGGGGACGAAAUGUCUUCAACCUAUUCUCAAACUUUAAAUGGGCCAGACGGCAUUGUCACUUAAUUGGACUUUGUCACGUAGUAGAAUGAGAGUGUCUAGUGGGCCAUUUUUGGUAAGCAGAACUGGCGCUGUGGGAUGAACCAAACGUUCGGUUAAGGUGCCAAAUGCAGUCGCUUAUGAGACACCAGAAAAGGUGUUGGUUGGUAUAGACAGCAGGACGGUGGCCCUGGAAGUCGGAAUCCGCUAAGGAGUGUGUAACAACUCACCUGCCGAAUCAACCAGCCCUGAAAAUGGAUGGCGCUUUAGCGAUGGACCUAUACCGGACCGGCACGGCGGGUCGACAGAGGCGGCGUGUGCGUGGGCAACCGCGUGUGCGCGCAGCACUGUUAUGGAGGCCGUGUCGAGUAGGAGGGCCACCGUGGUAGCAUAGAAGCUUAAGCCGUGAGGCUGAGUGGAGCU